rnacentral:rRNA from 1 species
UACAGAGGGGGCGAGCGUUAUUCGGAAUUAUUGGGCGUAAAGGGCGCGUAGGCGGCCGUGUAAGUCUUGGGUGAAAUCCCUCAGCUCAACUGAGGAACUGCCUCGGAUACUGCAUGGCUUGAGGCCGGGAGAGGGUAGUGGAAUUCCCAGUGUAGCGGUGAAAUGCGUAGAUAUUGGGAGGAACACCGGUGGCGAAGGCGGCUACCUGGACCGGUUCUGACGCUGAUGCGCGAAAGCGUGGGGAGCAAACAGG